GACGGAAGGUGCAAGCGUUGCUCGGAAUCAUUGGGCGUAAAGGGUGCGUAGGCGGCUUGGGAAGUCUGGUGUGAAAGCCCCGGGCUCAGCCCGGGAAGGGCACUAGAAACUGCCAAGCUGGAGUGCCGGAGGGGAGAGUGGAAUUCCUGGUGUAGCGGUGAAAUGCGUAGAGAUCAGGAGGAAUACCGGUGGCGAAAGCGACUCUCUGGACGGCAACUGACGCUGAGGCACGAAAGCGUGGGGAGCAAACAGG
rnacentral:rRNA from 1 species